rnacentral:rRNA from 1 species
GACGAACGCUGGCGGCGUGCCUAAUACAUGCAAGUCGAGCGGAUCUUUAGGAGCUUGCUCCUGAAGAUUAGCGGCGGACGGGUGAGUAACACGUGGGCAACCUGCCUGUAAGACUGGGAUAACACCGGGAAACCGGUGCUAAUACCGGAUAAUUCUUUCCUUCACAUGAGGGAAAGCUGAAAGUCGGUUUCGGCUGACACUUACAGAUGGGCCCGCGGCGCAUUAGCUAGUUGGUGAGGUAACGGCUCACCAAGGCGACGAUGCGUAGCCGACCUGAGAGGGUGAUCGGCCGCACUGGGACUGAGACACGGCCCAGACUCCUACGGGAGGCAGCAGUAGGGAAUCUUCCGCAAUGGACGAAAGUCUGACGGAGCAACGCCGCGUGAGUGAUGAAGGCCUUCGGGUCGUAAAACUCUGUUGUUAGGGAAGAACAAGUAUCGGAGUAACUGCCGGUACCUUGACGGUACCUAACCAGAAAGCCACGGCUAACUACGUGCCAGCCGCCGCGGUAAUAC